rfam:Xenopus laevis strain J chromosome 3S, whole genome shotgun sequence.
GGCUGGCUCUUUGUGGAAGACUAGUGAUUUUGUUGUUGUAAGUCUAUUUGCAUGACAACAAGUCACAGUCUGCCUCACAGUGCCCAGCA